CCAAAAAAUCAAUACUGUUUCUUUAUCCGCCCUCUUCGUUCUCCUCACCGAGGAAAAAAUGUAACCAGCUGUGAAAUCAAUUCCCAACCAUCUUCCUUCUUGUAUCUCGAACAUGAACACCCAUCAUCAUGGCCUCGAAAAUACCUUUGAAUAUCAUCAUCAUAUAAACCAAAUUAGAAAACUAAUUUUCGUCAAUACCCUAUUUCUAACCCUAGCUAAUCGAAAAACUAGUUAAGAAAAAUAUAUACCGGUUGUCACAUCAUCAUCAGCUGCUUCUUCGGUUACCACCUGCACCACCGCCUUCAUCUUACACAACUUUUGAUGUUAGGGAGGUUCAUGUCAUUUAUAAAGAACCAGCACUCUCUAUAAAGAGUUCAUGUCAUUUAUAAAGAACAAACACUCUCUGUAAUGAAGAUCGAAAGAUAUAGUUUGAGUGGAGAAUGUGAUAUGAUAAUUCAUUGUUAUCUGGUAGCAGAUCGGCAUGUUAAGGCCAUCCACAGGUUUAAGGGAAUAUGGCUAGGGCUUGUUGCAGGACAAAUCUCAUGCUUAUAAUGAAACUGAUGUCGAUUUGAAUUGCAUUGUAAACUCUUGAACUGAUGUCCUCUCAUCCCAUAAUACUAUUUUUCUUCUUUUGAAUAAAAUGUUGGUAUUAUUUAUGUGAUCCA